UGUAAAUAAAGGCGUUAUCUGUCACACAGGUGUUAAACUGUGAAGGACAUUGUUGAUAAAUACAGUGACACUGUUAUCAUGCUGUCCUAAAUCUAAAUUUAUUGGCGACACUAGUUAGCGACCAGUUAAAGCGACAACGGAAGAAGUUGGUUUACCAGCAAUUUGAAUUGAUAAAAAUUGCAUUUUGAUUUGGAAGAAGACGCUGCGCCCAUUGUCAGACUGUUUAGUCAUAAUCAGUAGAUGGAUGAUGAAAACACUGACGACGAAUUAGCAGAAGACUAUGCUCCUGACCCACGGGAUUAUUAUUCUCACUUUUACCGUGAGAGUGAGCGACUUUCAACGUUCCAUGACUGGCCACAUUGGGCAAAUGUGACUAAGGAAGAGUUGGCUAAAAAUGGGUUUAUGUGUUUACACGUAUCAGAUCGCGUACAGUGUGUUUUUUGUAGAGCGAGUUUAGCUAAUUUUAAACCUGGUGAUGUUGUUGCCAAUGUACAUAGAAAAUAUUGUCCCGAAUGUCCGUUUGCGUUUGGUUAUGAGUGUGGAAAUAUACCAAUACCAUCUGCCAGCAGAGCUCAGCAAACAACAAAAGUCAAAACGUUGAAUGGAACAAACAAUAGAGGAACGACUGCAGCUGGAAACUUUGCAUACUCAUUUCCGCAAUCUUCAAUUAUCCUUACGAAUUCAAUUCCAACCAGAAAUGGUAAUCCUAUUGCCUCACCGCAGUCACAUAGUGUAACAUCGUUGACUUCAAUUGCGUCAAAUCAACGAACAGCAGCAUUUAUCACAGAGCCAAAGUACAGAGACUGGACAGACGAACACACGAGGUUACGAUCUUAUAGGGGAUGGCCUGCACAGAUGAGACAAACACCGAGAGAUCUGGCAGCCGCCGGAUUGUUGUACAUGGGUCAUGGCGAUCGGUGUAAAUGUUAUUAUUGCGGGGGAGAACUCUAUGAUUGGGACCCAGAGGACAUUCCCUGGGUAGAGCACGCAAAGUGGUUCCCACAGUGCGGCUUUGUGCGGAAACAGAUGGGCGAACAAUUUGUCAUAAACAUCAAAAAUGGUUUAGCUACACAUGUUGAGUCUCCGAGCAACCAGGAGUUCAUUAGACGUCCACACGUUUUAGCCGCACUGAACGACUAUGGGUAUACCCAGGAGCAGGUCAUGGAGGCAUUACACACAUACGGUGUCCUCAAUCUAGUAACUGCGAAUGAUAUCAGAAAAUAUGUCGAGGAAAUGACACAUAAGAGACAAGAAGCCCAAAUGCAAGCAAAACUCACUGAAAACGUGGCCAAUACAAACUCAAGCCUAUCAAGUCGUUUGGUCAACGGGUCCGACGGUUCAGUUGCCAUGACCGCACGUGGUCAGCAAGUUUCCCAGCCUAGUGACGAGGCCGGGGCCUUCAAUAGUCAGUUGUUCAUCGAGGAUCUGGUGAUGGAAGGCGUGGAGGAAUCAAAUACUGGCAGUAUUAAUUACCAGCGUUUACAAAACUUGAGGCAGAAUAGCCACCCUAGUUCUUUUUCCUCAGCAAGUAAUCCUUCAGACGUCGACGAUGUUCUUACGGAAAACGAGAAACUCAAAGAACAGCGGGUGUGUAAAGUAUGUAUGGACAAGGAGGUUUGCGUGACCCUCCUUCCGUGUCGCCACUUGGCAACCUGUGAAGAGUGUGCUAAAUCAAUUCGUGAUUGUCCCAUAUGCAGAUCAGAUGUUGAAAGCAAAGUUAAAGUAUUCUGGGCAUAAUAGGUAAAGCGAAAAUCAAAUUGAGGCAUACAAUCGUAGUAAUUAUCUGACAGUAUGCCAUCUUUUCUCUGAAAUAAUGAGCGAUACUAUUUAUGUUUGCAAUGUUCAUAAUGAUGAUAAAUAUUUGAAGUUUUCCAGAUUGUAAGAAACAGUAUUUUUUUUUAGCUGUUGACAUGUAUAAAUAUAUAUUCAUAUGGUAAGCUUAUAUUAACAUGUACUACUGUUUGACAAGCUUAUUUGCCGAUCACGAUUGUGAAAUUUUUCUGUUUAACAUUUUGUUACCGAAACAAGUGUACAGUUAAAAAGCCACGUAUAAAAUGCGUCAUUCUUUACAACUGCGAAAUGACAUAAUGCAUCAUGAAAUUCUUAACCAAGGCUUUCAACACAGUUGAAAAUCCUGACCAUUAAACUAUGGUAUGGCGUGAGGUCGAGUGGCGUGAACAAGUGGUUUCCGGUCAAUAACUUUCGUUUGCAUUGACCAAUCUCAAUGAAAUUCGGCAUUUCGCAAGUUGGGAUAGAAACCUAGCUUUGGAAUGUAUUUGAAGCACAUGGGAUCAAGGUCGAGAUCACCGCUACAAAAAACGAAUGCAGUUUCCGCUGGAGAUGGAGAUACUUACUUAAAUUUGUGUAGAUUUAGCUUGAAUGAAGACCUAUCAUAGGAUUUUAUUUGGAGCCAGUUGGAUCAAUAUCGCGGUCUCUUUUACUAAAAAAAGAAAAACAACAAACAUGUGGUUUCCGUUCAAUUAGUUGGUUUGCCUUAAACAAUCUUGUUGAAGCAAAUAAAAUGCUUGCGUGUGGACCUAGCUUGUGAUUGUUUUGACGGCAAGUCAAAUAAAGGUCAAUAUCACUUGUACUAAAUAUAGUAACAUGGAUUAGUCUCAAUAACUUGAUGUUGGAUAGAGCAAUUUUGUUUGUAGAUUGCACACAAACCUAUAUUGGGAUGCAUUCAAAGUCACCUAGGGCCUGGGCCCGGUUUAAUGAGAGCGACCAUGGUCGAGUAGGUAUGGUUGUACCAGCGAAUAAUCGUCGUGCGACGAUAACCGGGUUAAAUAAAGAGCGACGAUCGUCAGUCGACCGCGCGUUGUUCGACGUACUGUCGAGCGACCGCAGUCCACCCCUCACACCACGACUGCUCGUCGCUUGACUGCUCGUCGCUUGACGCUUCUUGGGCAACCAAAACCCGUGCAAAAUGACUGACCACACCGUCGUGCGACCACAGUCACGGCAACUUGCUCCUUGAACGCGACGAGUGGUCAGUUGGCGGCCGACGAGCGUCGGUCGACCACACAGUCGCGCGACUACAGUCGGGUGUUGUAGAUUUUCAUUAAACCGGCCCCAGGUUGAGGUCACUUUAAAAAGAAAAAUGUUGUCUGGUAGAUAACUUGAUAAUGGAUGGAGAUAUUCUACUAAUAUUGUGUGUGUGUGUGUAUAUAUGUCAUAAUGUUGGUCAUUAUAAUUAUGUGUUCAUCAAUCAUACGAACUCCACAAGUUUGUAUAUACUUUUAUUGCGUGUUACCUGUUCGAUGGCUACAUGUGAGGUGAAGCAAACAUACAUCAAAAAUAUAAAAUCAGUAUCAAAUAUAUCAAGGGAAGUAACUACUACAUGGUAGAUUUAUAACAUCAGCAAAUGGAUCAAGAAUUAAUCAUCUUUAUAUCAUGACAAUAUUUCUCAUAUACAGGAAUAGUUUGAGAAUUCGUUUGAGGCCAUUCUGUUUAAGGUUGAUGUCAAGUAACUAUAUCAAGAAUGGCGUUUGGAUGGAGUUCUUAUGGUUUAUGAUGGUAACUAACUUUAAGACCAAGCUUCGGAUUGCAGUUGGGACCGAUAUGGUCAAAGUCAAGGUCAGCCUAACUCAAAAUAGGAAAAUGUUAUCCGCUCAUUACCUUGAAUAAAGCUGGAGGUGUUAGCUUACAAGCAGAACUAUUUAGUUAAGCUGUAUUUAGCUUUCUUUUAUUCUGUACUUAUGAAAUCAAAAUUAGAUUUUAAAAUGGUUCUGUUUUCCCAUAGGAUGACUUAAUGUACAAUGUUCAUAUUUCUUAGUUAUAUGUUUCAUAAAAUUAUCAAUUUCAUUGUCAGCACUUUAAAACCUAACAAUUCAUUAUUUUGUACAUAUACAUUUAUACCAGCAAAAGUCUAUAAAUUAUAAAAUAAAACAUUCAGUUGAUAAUAAGUUGAGUUUGGGUGGAUAUAUUAAUUGUGUUAUUAUUGGGAUUAUGCGUUAAAUGAGUUUUGGACAAAGUGAAUAAUGAACAUUUGUGUGCAGGUAGCUUAUCAUAGUAACUCUAAGACUUCAAACACUAAAAGCAUAAUUGAAUAUUUCUGUGCCCGAUAAUUAAGAUACACACAACUUCCCCAAAAGUCGUUGUCGGCAAAUUAAGAUACACAUAACUUUUACCAAAAGUCGUUGUCCGCAAAUUAAGAUACACACAACUUCCCCAAAAGUCUUUGUACUCAAAUUAAGAGACACCCUAGAGGUAUACCUAUUGGAUUGACAAUUAGAUAUUCGUUUGUAUAACGUAAACUGUCGAAAUCAUAGCGUGUGCUUGUCGAUACCACGCCGUUACGAAAAUAAAUGUGUUCAAUAAAUUAAAAGACCUACUAUAUGUGUAAUAUUGUUUUACAUAAAUAUACUUCAAGGUUGAACUUUUUAGCAUAACAUAUGCUUAAUGAAUCGAAUACUGACAGUUCAACUUUAUAACCACUAAAAGCUAUCGGUUGAAACCAGUAUCUACCCGGUACAGGUCUAUCUACCCAAAUGAAGCAAAUGUAACGGUCAAACAACGUCGUGCACUCAUCUGCUAGAGUUUAUGACUGUAAAAACACAUGGGUGAUGUGUAACCAAAUAGGAAUUUUUUUAUGCAAUGAAACUAUCCGCCAAAUUAAAGUCAUUUAUAAUACGGGGAAAAACUGGGUGUCCUAAACUAAAAAUUAUUAUUUGGGCUAAAACAGAUGGCAUCCAAUUAAUAAGUGCGUAAUUGCGAUACAAACAGAAUUAGCUUGAGAUUGCACUUGUAUUGAAACAAUAUCUUAAAUGUUGACAGUCUGGUUUCGUGGCUUUGAAAUCAUUAUGUUUUAAAGUUAUAGAAAUAUUUCUUUUAAUUCAUUAUUAAACGUUUUAUUGUAUUUAGAGAGCAAAUGUUUGAUGUAUGUUUUUUACUAACAUCAUCUUCUUGCUCGUGUUUAUAUUUAAAAUAACGGAAGUGUGUUAUUAAUUGUACAAUUGUAUUCAUAACAAAUAUCGAAAUGUGUAUUGCAUUUAUUUGUUUGUCGUUUACUUUUAUGCAAUAUCUAUUUAUGUAAAAUGUAUAAGCGUAAACAAUCGUGGACUUAUUGUUGCC